rnacentral:tRNA from 1 species
CGGGGCAUAGUGAAACGGCUAUCACGAGUCCUUUGGGAGGAUUUAUUCUGAGUUCGAAUCUCAGUGCCCCGAC